GCCCAGAACUCCCUUUGUCCAAAAUCACCCCGGCAUGUCCAAAGUGCAGCACUCCGGCAUUUGCAAGACUGCACAUCCAAACAUUCCCUCCUGAUGCACCAAUGCUGGUCAGGGAAUGUUUGGAUGUGUAGUGAUGCAAGUGCCGGAGGGUUGCAUUUGGGCCGCUGUAACCCGCUUGUGUUGUGUGGACUGUUGUAUGUACCUCUUUUUUCAGCCCCAGGGUGACACUAUCACCCAUACCUGGAAGCUUAAACUGUUCUCUUCCACCGGUCCUGCGGUGUAUCUUCCCAAGUGGCGUGGAUGUGAGGAGACACGACAUUUCACCUGAUGUUCCAUGGGUGACCCUACUGGUGAUGUGGACCUGACCCUCCGCCAUGUAGCAGACAACCCCCUCAGGUGAGAUGCAAUUGACCAACAAAACUCCCUUGUCCAAAAUCACCCUGGCAUGUCCAAAGUGCAGCCCUCCGGCAUUUGCAAGACUGCACAUCCAAACAUUCCCUGAAACAGCAAUGCUGGAGCGGGGAAUGUUUGGAUGUGUAGUGAUGCAAGUGCAGGAGGGUUGCAUUUGGACCCACUGUUCCCCGCUUGUGUUGUGUGGACUGUUGUAUGUACCUCUUUUUUCAGCCCCAGGGUGACACUAUUACCCACAUCUGGUAGCUCAUACUGUUCUCUUCCACAGGUCCUGCGGUGUAUCUUCCCAAGUGGCGUGGAUGUGAGGAGACACGACAUUUCACCUGAUGUUCCAUGGGUGACCCUACUGGUGAUGUGGACCUGACCCUCCGCCAUGUAGCAGACAACCCCCUCAGCCCCAGGGUGACACUAUCACCCAUACCUGGAAGCUCAAACUGUUCUCUUCCACAGGUCCUGCGGUGUAUCUUCCCAAGUGGCGUGGAUGUGAGGAGACACGACAUUUCACCUGAUGUUCCAUGGGUGACCCUACUGGUGAUGUGGACCUGACCCUCCGCCAUGUAGCAGACAACCCCCUCAGGUGAGAUGCAAUUGACCAACAAAACUCCCUUGUCCAAAAUCACCCUGGCAUGUCCAAAGUGCAGCCCUCCGGCAUUUGCAAGACUGCACAUCCAAACAUUCCCUGAAACAGCAAUGCUGGAGCGGGGAAUGUUUGGAUGUGUAGUGAUGCAAGUGCAGGAGGGUUGCAUUUGGACCCACUGUUCCCCGCUUGUGUUGUGUGGACUGUUGUAUGUACCUCUUUUUUCAGCCCCAGGGUGACACUAUUACCCACAUCUGGUAGCUCAUACUGUUCUCUUCCACAGGUCCUGCGGUGUAUCUUCCCAAGUGGCGUGGAUGUGAGGAGACACGACAUUUCACCUGAUGUUCCAUGGGUGACCCUACUGGUGAUGUGGACCUGACCCUCCGCCAUGUAGCAGACAACCCCCUCAGGUGAGAUGCAAUUGACCAACAAAACUCCCUUGUCCAAAAUCACCCUGGCAUGUCCAAAGUGCAGCCCUCCGGCAUUUGCAAGACUGCACAUCCAAACAUUCCCUGAAACAGCAAUGCUGGAGCGGGGAAUGUUUGGAUGUGUAGUGAUGCAAGUGCAGGAGGGUUGCAUUUGGACCCACUGUUCCCCGCUUGUGUUGUGUGGACUGUUGUAUGUACCUCUUUUUUCAGCCCCAGGGUGACACUAUUACCCACAUCUGGUAGCUCAUACUGUUCUCUUCCACAGGUCCUGCGGUGUAUCUUCCCAAGUGGCGUGGAUGUGAGGAGACACGACAUUUCACCUGAUGUUCCAUGGGUGACCCUACUGGUGAUGUGGACCUGACCCUCCGCCAUGUAGCAGACAACCCCCUCAGGUCUUCCGGUGUAUCCUUCCUAAGUGGCGUGGAUGUGAAGAGACAGUUCCCCUGAUGUUCCCUGGGCAAUCUACUUACGUACAAUUCAACUGCAUUACAAAUUUUAAUAAAAACCACAGGAAACUUCUAUUUUUAAAAGUUUAUUGAAGAAAAAUUUUUUUUAAUAAAGU